GAUCCGGCGGCUCGUUGUGGAACGGCCGUCGCUCAACGGAUAAAAGGUACCUCGGGGAUAACAGGCUGAUCUUGCCCAAGAGUCCAUAUCGACGGCAUGGUUUGGCACCUCGAUGUCGGCUCGUCGCAUCCUGGGGCUGGAGUAGGUCCCAAGGGUUGGGCUGUUCGCCCAUUAAAGCGGUACGCGAGCUGGGUUCAGAACGUCGUGAGACAGUUCGGUCCCUAUCCUCUGCGCGCGUUGGAAAUUU
rnacentral:rRNA from 1 species